GAACUCCUGGUGUUUUUACAGGGUUCUCAGAAUGUUUGGGAGGCCAAAUUCGGACCACCAAUUGGGGAACCCUGCUCCUGACAGUUAAAUAUCUGCUCUGUCAGAGAGCUGACGGGUUGACAGUUAAAUAUCUGCUCUGUCAGAGAGCUGACGGGUUGACAGUUAAAUAUCUGCUCUGUCAGAGNNNNNNNNNNGUUCUGGAACUCUUAGUAACGCGCGGCUGUUGUAACGUUCUGGAACUCUUAGUAACGCGCGGCUGUUGUAACGUUCUGGAACUCUUAGUAACGCGCGGCUGUUGUAACGUUCUGGAACUCUUAGUAACGCGCGGCUGUUGUAACGUUCUGGAACUCUUAGUAACGCGCGGCUGUUGUAACGUUCUGGAACUCUUAGUAACGCGCGGCUGUUGUAACGUUCUGGAACUCUUAGUAACGCGCGGCUGUUGUAACAUUCUCAGAGACAGUGGAGUUGAAAUAAUGUGGCUCUGGUUAACAAUCUAUUAUUUAAAUCUUUCUCAGUUUUCAAUUUCCCGUAGUAUUCCUGACAUCUGUUCCUGA
rnacentral:lncRNA from 13 species